UCUCCCCUUCCUUAGUUUAAUUAAAUAUGCCCGAGGCUGGGUUGUGGGACCUGUGUUCUAAUCUUAUCUUGUGAAAUCUUAUGGUAAUGCCACCUGUAUAUGUUGCAAAUCGUGGAUUUUUUAUUUGACAAUUAAAAAUGUCGAGGUUUUUCAGAACUAUGUUGGAUAUUUAGAAAAACUGACUUCACGAUACUAGUAGGAAAGGCGCACAGUUACCGUGUGGUUAAUGACAUGGAAGCGAGGGAAGCCGAAGGAUUUGAUGCAAAUGGACGAAAUGAUGCGUCUGAUAUAUUGUGUGAAUUCCUGGAAGUUGCUGUUCAUUUUAUUCUUUACAUGAGAGAAGUGUAUCCAGCUGGAAUUUUUGAAAAGCGUAUGAAAUACAAUGUGGCUGUGCAGAUGUCAUGCCAUCCAGAACUAAAUCAAUACAUACAAAAUGUUUUGUAUAGCAUCAAGCCUUGUUUGGAGAAGGGCGAAGUGGAAAAGUUUGCUGUUGCAAUUAUUGAUAAGGAGCUUCAUCCGCUAGAAAGAUUCGUGUUUGAGAUCAAAUCUGGCUAUGAUUUUGUAUCAUUAAGGAAAGAAGACCCAUGUUUCUUUAAAAUUGAGUCAACUUUGCGAGCCUUUUUGUUGAAAAUUGGUGUUUGUGAUGCAAUGUUGCAGCCAAAUCCUUCUGAUUGCCGAUUCUCGAUCAUGGUCUACACGAAGCAGUCGUCAGAAAUGAAGAUAGAAGAAUCUGAUGAUACUCAGGCAUUUGCAUGGAUAAAUGUUGAAAAAAAUGAAGCAGAGAUGGAAUCGCCGUGGAUUAUUCCACUAAAAUCAAAUUCAUCGCAGUUCUUUAAAAUGCAGUUAUUUGUGGAAGAGUCUCGCACUAAAGACACUUGACAUUCAUGGAAUGAAAAUAACAAAUGAUGCUGAGUCGGUUCCCGGUGGUUCGAGAGUCAUAGGAUGUACAACACGGGAGAUAUUGAUGCUCAAAAUUUGCCACGGCUUUCCCAUCACUACUGAUCAUGGAACGCUACCUGUAACACAGAAUAGAUACCACCAGAAGGGCCACUCUCGUCGGAACCUUUGAAGAUUUUGUUGUCAACUUUUAGCCCGCAAUCAGGCAUCGCCGCCAUGUUGGCAGCAAGAUAACUUCAGCAAGUUCGUAAUAGAAAAUAUAGUAAUGAGAAACAGUUCGGCGCGUCCUCGACAAUUAUAUGGCUAUUCCAUUUUUGUUUUGUGUAUGCCAUCACGAGCAAUGUCAAAGAAGGUAAUUUUGACAACUUAGGUCGAAUCGCAUCGUUAGAAUACACGUUUUAGAGUCAAAAUUUGUUAUUGUGGUCUUAUGCUUUUGCCAACUUGCCAACAUUCAAUCAUGGUUAUGCUUGUAUUGCGAGCUACAAUGAAAAGGAUCAUCAACUUUGUCUAUGGAAUUUUCCUUGUAGUAAGUUUGUAGAAUGUUACAAAUGCUUGACUUUAAUGUACUUUCGCGAUCUUUUAUUAGAAGAGGAAAACUCGCGAUUUGCAAAUUUGUUGCCGUAAUAAAUUCGCAUUGUUAAAAAAAGUUUGACCAAAUAUUGCAGUGGAAACUGUGAACAUGUACGGAAUGGCACUGGUAUCAUGUUAAGACUCUUCAAGAUGCUCUUUCCAACAUUCAGAUUUUUGGUUGUGACUGAGAAGCAAUCCACGAAGGUGUCUUCAAGUUGCAUAAUGUAAUUUAAAUAGCACGAUGAAGGAGCAGUCAGCCCACCAAAGUUGAGUUCUUUAUAUGCCUUGAAAUAGCAAAGCAAAUUGCCAUCAUUGUUUAUGUUAUUUGAAGUCAAAACGUUCUUACAUUGGAGACAGCUGUGGAUUUUGAAAGCUUUGCUUAGCAAAUAUCCUGAAACAUAGGCAGCAGCAUUUUUGAGCAAUAAAUUGUUGCUAAUAUUUUGUUCUCGGUAGUCAUUUCACCAAUCAACAGUGAGUUACUUGGAGCUUUUGCAUGGAACAGUUUCCUUUGGAAGAGGUCAAAAGUGAACUAAAAAAAACCUUUCGAAAAGCUCUGAUAAAUUGUAUUGGCGUGGGAUUGUCAGAAUUACCUCCUUGCUGGCGUAUUGUUCCAAAAAAAUUCUCUAGAGCAUCUGUGUUUAAUCUUCUGUGUGGAACUAUUGAUGCAAUCGAAAAGUGAAUCAAAUUUGAAAAGCAAGUCAGCUGUACCCAAGGCUGAUGGUGGUAGUGCUCCAAUAGAUGAAUAUGUGCAAAUUGAUGCAGCAAUGGUGUGGCUGAAUAUUUGUGUAGCAUAUUUAACUUGAAAAUUAAUCUGAAAAUUAAUGCAGCGACAGCGAUGUAACGAAAAUAACAAUAUAUAUAUAUUAAUAGAAGCAAGAGGACAAUUUUAUUUCCUUACAACGGAAUCAAUACUUUAAAUUAUCUAAAACAUGACAAAUAUAAGGAACAUAUAGUUAAGAGCAUCUGGAAGUUAGCUACAAUCAUACAAUAUAAGAAUUUUCCCAACACAAUAUGGCAUUGGCAUUAAAUACAAUUGCACAAGUUUGCAAUUUCUCAAUGAA